CACGGUGCUCAUGAUUGUUGCACGCCCUACAGGUUGUAAAGAUCUUUCAACAGUGAAGAUAAUGACGGUAACUGUAGAAGAAGCCCCGGCUAACUCCGUGCCACCAGCCGCGGUAAUACGGAGGGGGCUAGCGUUGUUCGGAAUUACUGGGCGUAAAGCGUACGUAGGCGGAUUAUUAAGUCAGAGGUGAAAUCCCGGGGCUCAACCCCGGAACUGCCUUUGAUACUGGUAGUCUAGAGGUCGAGAGAGGUGAGUGGAAUUCCGAGUGUAAAGGUGAAAUUCGUAGAUAUUCGGAGGAACACCAGAGGCGAAGGCGGCUCACUGGCUCGAUUCUGACGCUGAGGUACGAAAGUGUGGGUAGCAAACAGGAUUAGAUACCCUGGUAGUCCACACCGUAAACGAUGAAUGCUAGUCGUCAGGGGAUUCGUCCUUUGGUGACGCAGCUAACGCAUUAAGCAUUCCGCCUGGGGAGUACGGUCGCACGAUUAAAACUCAUAGGAAUUGACGGAGG
rnacentral:rRNA from 1 species